rfam:Anoxybacillus amylolyticus strain DSM 15939, complete genome.
UCCGUGUCGACGCGGAGUCUGAAGAAAGCGAACGACAAACUCUUGGUCUGAAAAACGCUGUUUUCGAUACCUAUUAUCUUCAAAAGGAGAAAGUCAUCCUAAGAUGAGGGAGAGUUUUUUGU